rnacentral:lncRNA from 1 species
UGGUGGUCGUUGUUACGGAUUUUAUGUUGGCAUAUUUCGUGAAGUUAGUCGGAGUCUUGAAUGUUGGAAGAAGAAGAGAUGAAGAUCGAAGACUCGAAGACUCAAAACAUGAAUGCACAAUACUCGGUAAGUUUAAAUAUCAUUGAUGAUGAUUUAUAAAUUUUAAAAGUGUUUGGAAGACUUAGUAUGGUUUUUAAAAUAUAAAUCUGGACAAACUGAGUUUUUCAAUGUGUUGGGACCGGU